CUCAGGACUUUCAAGUGUGGUUAGAGGAUGAUCCUUUAUGGAUUUCUAAUGUUUUGGCCAAUGACAAAUUAUUUACUAAAUUUAAUUUUAUACUGGAUGUGAUGUAGUGGUACUCUUUUUCCUUUACCGAAUUUUCCUCCAUUUGGGGGUUUUUAAAGGCAAGGUUUUAAUGAGGCCACACUUGUUACAUUACUAAAGUCCAAUCUUCUUCUUUAUGGAUCUCUCUUUGAUAAAAAAAAAAAAAAAAUCCUAAUUGAAUAGAGGUGUCAAACGGGAUGGGCUGUCCCAACACGUCCCGAGCCUAGCCCAUUUAAAUGAGGCACGACAUGGCACGAGCACGAAUAUUAACGGGCCGUUUUGGGCACGGUACAAAAACUUGGGCUAGGCCGGGAUCAAAAAAUGUGAUCCAAUGGACUGGGCCGGCCCAUGGCCCGAGCCCGCUCCAAGCACGGCACGAGCCCAAGCCAGCUUCAAGCCCGACC
rnacentral:lncRNA from 1 species